rnacentral:rRNA from 1 species
GAUGAACGCUAGCUACAGGCUUAACACAUGCAAGUCGAGGGGCAGCACUAGGUAGCAAUACUGAGGUGGCGACCGGCGCACGGGUGCGUAACGCGUAUCCAACCUUCCCGUUACUCUUGGAUAGCCUUCCGAAAGGGAGAUUAAUACCGAAUAACAUAGAGUGAUUGCCUGAUUUCUCUAUGAAAGCUCCGGCGAUGAAGGAUGGGGAUGCGUUCCAUUAGGUAGUAGGCGGGGUAACGGCCCACCUAGCCGACGAUGGAUAGGGGUUCUGAGAGGAAGGUCCCCCACACUGGAACUGAGACACGGUCCAGACUCCUACGGGAGGCAGCAGUGAGGAAUAUUGGUCAAAUGGCCGGGAGGCUGAACCAGCCAUGCCGCGUGAAGGUCACGGCCCUAUGGGUCUUAAACUUCUUUUGUAAGGGAGCAAUAAGGUCCACGUGUGGACUGAUGAGAGUACCUUACGAAUAAGCAUCGGCUAACNCCGUGCCAGCAGCCGCGGU